GAUGAACGCUGGCGGCGUGCCUAAUACAUGCAAGUAGAACGCUGAAGGAAGGAGCUUGCUCUUUCCGGAUGAGUUGCGAACGGGUGAGUAACGCGUAGGUAACCUGCCUGGUAGUGGGGGAUAACUACUGGAAACGAUAGCUAAUACUGCAUAAUAGUAGAUGUUGCAUGAUAUCUACUAAAAAGGUGCAUUUGCACCACUACCAGAUGGACCUGCGUUUUAUUAGCUAGUUGGUGAGGUAACGGCCCAACAAGGCGACGAUACAUAGCCGACCUGAAAGGGUGGUCGGCCAAACUGGGACUGGGGCACGGCCCAAGCUCCUGCGGGAGGCAGCAGGAGGGGAUCUUCGGCAAUGGACGGAAAUCUGGCCGAGGAACGCCGCGGGGGUGGAGGAGGUUUUCGGGUCGGAAAAGUCUGUUGUGAGGGAAAGACGAGUGUGAGAGUGGAAAGUUCACGUUGUGACGGUAUCUUACCAGAAAGGGACGGCUAACUACGUG
rnacentral:rRNA from 1 species